rnacentral:lncRNA from 1 species
UGGGUACUAAAAUAGUAGGUCAACAGAGUUUAUAUAUUUAACAUUUUGUCAUGUUUGACAUAUAAUUUUUGAAGAUUUAAUAUUGCCUUCCAAAUGAUGCCCUCCAUCUUAUUAAAUUCAUUGUUUGAUUCCAAGUAGAAAUUAUUUGGUGAAGACGACCAAAAUUUGGCCAAAAUCGCCUUGUGAAUAAACCAGAAAAGGAAUGAAAUAUAUUUGGCGACGACGUCCCAAAUUUUAAAAGGAACUUUCUUUUCCUUUCCUCUCUAUGUGAUGCAUAUGGGAAUGAUUGAUUUCCUGAUUCACUAGUAGGAAAAACCUUAUAGGCAGGACCUCAGUAGUAG